rnacentral:rRNA from 1 species
UGGGGAAUAUUGCACAAUGUGCGCAAGCCUGAUGCAGCCAUGCCGCGUGUAUGAAGAAGGCCUUCGGGUUGUAACGUACUUUCAGCGGGGAGGAAGGGAGUAAAGUUAAUACCUUUGCUCAUUGACGUUACCCGCAGAAGAAGCACCGGCUAACUCCGUGCCAGCAGCCGCGGUAAUACGGAGGGUGCAAGCGUUAAUCGGAAUUACUGGGCGUAAAGCGCACGCAGGCGGUUUGUUAAGUCAGAUGUGAAAUCCCCGGGCUCAACCUGGGAACUGCAUCUGAUACUGGCAAGCGUGAGUCUCGUAGAGGGGGGUAGAAUUCCAGGUGUAGCGGUGAAAUGCGUAGAGAUCUGGAGGAAUACCGGGGGCGAAGGCGGCCCCCUGGACGAAGACUGACGCUCAGGUGCGAAAGCGGGGGGAGCAAACAGG